GGCCCCUUAGCUCAGUGGUUAGAGCAGGCGACUCAUAAUCGCUUGGUCGUUGGUUCAAAACCCAACAGGGGCCACCA
rnacentral:tRNA from 1 species